rnacentral:rRNA from 1 species
CAGCACCUCAAGUGGUCAGGAUGAUUAUUGGGCCUAAAGCAUCCGUAGCCGGCGCUGUAAGUUUUCGGUUAAAUCUGUACGCUCAACGUACAGGCUGCCGGGAAUACUGCAGCGCUAGGGAGAGGGAGAGGUAGACGGUACUCGGUAGGAAGGGGUAAAAUCCUUUGAUCUAUUGAUGACCACCUGUGGCGAAGGCGGUCUACCAGAACACGUCCGACGGUGAGGGAUGAAAGCUGGGGGAGCAAACCGGAUUAGAGACCCGAGUAGUCC